UACAGAGGGUGCGAGCGUUAAUCGGAAUUACUGGGCGUAAAGCGUGCGUAGACGGUUAUUUAAGUCGGACGUGAAAGCCCCGGGCUCAACCUGGGAAUUGCAUUCGAGACUGAAUAGCUAGGGUGCGGUAGAGGGAAGCGGAAUUUCCGGUGUAGCGGUGAAAUGCGUAGAUAUCGGAAGGAACAUCAGUGGCGAAAGCGGCUUCCUGGACCAGCACCGACGUUCAGGCACGAAAGCGUGGGGAGCAAACAGG
rnacentral:rRNA from 1 species